AUGGUACUCCAUUCGUCCGGAAAUACUUAUCUUUGAAAUGAUUGUAUCUAGAUUUAUUUUAUUUAUAGAUACAUUCAUUUUAUUCAUUUUUAGGACAUGUAUUUUCGGACGGAGGGAGUAGCUA
rfam:Triticum urartu cultivar G1812 contig956648, whole genome shotgun sequence.